rnacentral:lncRNA from 1 species
AGAAUCCUCAGCGUUCGGGCAAAGGGCAGAGAAUCCAGCCAGAAGCAACAUGUAGAUCUAAUGACCUUCUCCAGGAGUCGAGGACCCACUACCUCGCUGAAUUCUCAGAGUCAAAAUGCGUCUCUACCUGCUGGUCCCAGAACAGUCCCCUGCUGCUGCAUUGAAUGAAUCUCAUCUCACUUCCUCGAGUCAGCCCUACCUAUAUUUGAUGAUCACAAACCUUAUCCUUACGUUGCCAGCAGUAACAUUCUGCAUCCCUCACCCACUCCACUGUGUCCUUUUCCUCCCACUGAUCUUCACUCUGCCUUUUCUAGGGGAACUCUGAACAGUAUUUCUGAGAAGGGUGCUGGCAUCUCUUCAUCCCUAGAGUGAUGCUGCCAUCUCCGUCUUGAAUGUCUCUGCUGACAUGACCUGCUAAACUUGAACUCAUAGGCGGGGCAAUCGCUUGAGCCCAGGAGUUCAAAAC